AUACUGUGCUUUUAUACAUGUUUUUCUACUGGCUCCUAUUUUGAUCCUUUUCUGUGGGACCAGUGAGGAGCUUGUGUCCGAUUUGGAGACCAUCGGAGCCAGGAAAGGACAAACAAACCUGUCUAGGAUUCUGCUGCUCAUAUAUGAGAGCUGGAAGUAUCAAACAAAAUAAGUACCAGGAGCCAGCUCAUGGAUACAGACCUCCCGGAAUGCAAAACUUCUGGAAAUUAGAACUCACAAAGUCAUCCUCUGUAUAUGGCCCCGGGUGUCUAUAGUGCACAGCUACACAACAAAAGGAAGUGAAAACGUUGGAAAAUUGUCACGUAAAGAGUCAUCUCUUCCAACAGUUAUUUAUGAGACACUGAGAAGUUAGAGUGCAACAGCAGAAAAGGAGAACCUCUCAACAAAGAGAUGCAGACAGGUGAUGUGUGAAGGCAAUGGUGCUAAACGGAACAAAUUAGUUUGAAACCCUCCCUUCUGUUGUGUUUCAUAUACGACUCAGUGAAAAGUAAACCAAAGAAAGAAAUACUAUCAUCAGAGAUCAAAUCAGCUCAGAAGCACCUCAGAUUGGAAAACAAUGAAUGGAGAAACAUGGGAUUUGAUUACAUGGUGAGAUUAGAUUCAAAAUGUUUUACAGUGUACUUUUCUUAAUAAAAGUUAUGUU